AGUAACUAUACUCAGGAAGAACUUCAAGAAACUUACGGGUUUCUUCUGUUUGAAACUGAAAAUCAGGCAAAGAGGGUAUGUGAGCGUGGACUCUGUGUUGGCAGCAGUGCAAUUACCACUUUGGGUGAUCCAGCAAAAGGUGUCUACAUUUCUAAGUACUCAGAUUAUCUUCAUGCAAGACCAUGGUAUCAUGGGAAGUCUGGCUAUAUUGUAAUUUUUAAUCUAAUUAAGGGAAAAGUCAAGUUUGUGCCUGAAAAUUAUACAACUAACUAUACUAGCCCAUCUUCUGGCUAUGAUUGUCACGUGGC